rnacentral:rRNA from 1 species
CCCGGAGACGGAAUCUGAGACAAGAUUCCGGGCCCUACGGGGCGCAGCAGGCGCGAAACCUUUACACUGCACGGACAGUGCGAUAAGGGAAUCCCAAGUGCGUAGGCAUAGAGCCUACGCUUUUGUCCACCGGUAGGGAGGUGGACGAAUAAGGGCUGGGCAAGACCGGUGCCAGCCGCCGCGGUAAUACCGGCAGCCCAAGUGAUGGCCGAUCUUAUUGGGCCUAAAGCGUCCGUAGCUGGCCGCACAAGUCUAUCGGAAAAUCCACCCCGCCCAACGGGUGGGCGUCCGGUAGAAACUGUGUGGCUUGGGACCGGAAGGCGCGACGGGUACGUCCGGGGUAGGAGUGAAAUCCCGUAAUCCUGGACGGACCGCCGAUGGCGAAAGCACGUCGCGAAGACGGAUCCGACAGUGAGGGACGAAAGCUAGGGUCUCGAACCGGAUUAGAUACCCGGGUAGUCCUAGCCGUAAACAAUGCCUGCUAGGUGUGGCUCCCACUACGAGUGGGUGCUGUGCCGUAGGGAAGCCGCUAAGCAGGCCGCCUGGGAAGUACGUCCGCAAGGAUGAAACUUAAAGGAAUUGGCGGGGGAGCACUACAACCGGAGGAGCCUGCGGUUUAAUUGGACUCAACGCCGGACAUCUCACCAGCAUCGACUGUAAUAAUGACGACCAGGUUGAUGACCUUGUCCGAGUUUCAGAGAGGAGGUGCAUGGCCGCCGUCAGCUCGUACCGUGAGGCGUCCUGUUAAGUCAGGCAACGAGCGAGACCCGCAUCCUUACUUGCCAGCAGCACUGCGAAGUGGCUGGGGACAGUAGGGAGACCGCCGUGGCCAACACGGAGGAAGGAACGGGCAACGGUAGGUCAGUAUGCCCCGAAUGUGCUGGGCAACACGCGGGCUACAAUGGUCGAGACAAAGGGUUCCUACUCCGAAAGGAGACGGUAAUCUCAGAAACUCGAUCGUAGUUCGGAUUGUGGGCUGCAACUCGCCCACAUGAAGCUGGAUUCGGUAGUAAUCGCGUGUCAUAAGCGCGCGGUGAAUACGUCCCUGCUCCUUGCACACACCGCCCGUCAAAGCACCCGAGUGAGGU